GCUGGCCUUCACAUAUGAAUGGUUCCUGAUUCAUAUGUCACCAGGGGAGCUGCUCUUUCUUAGAAGUUCUUCCUGAUCACAAUGCGAUGAUGGCGUCAAUGGUGUCAUAGAGGAGAGCUUCCCGCCCAAAAGCUAAAGCACAGGUGGGAUAGAACUCUCUGUUAUCACAGUUGGUUUUCCAGAAGAAAAGGGGUAUCCAGUUUGAAAUCUCCAACUUUCUGUGCGCUGGAGCUUUGAGAGUUGUCAGGCUUUUUUUUUACACGUUGGCCAGGUAACUAAGUGAAGAAUGCUGUGGCGACACUGGUUCCUGAAGAAUGAUACAGGAAGAUCUAAGACGCUCAAUAGGGUUUGGAAAUGGGAUCAGGGGGUCUUCUUUAUCGAGCGUUCCGCAGUUCUUCGCGACUCCGUCAGCGGAGGGGAGAGAGCGGCCCGCGGUUCGCGACCCUGUCAGUUCUGAAUCAGCGGUGCUUCCUGAAGAAAGCUGCCGACGCCGGAGUCACGGCCUUCCAAAUUUGACACGGUAGUCGUAAAGAUGAAGAGAGGAACCGAGCGGUGAUACCUGACGGGAUUCAGCCCUCAAAACAAUCCUCUUUAUGAUGUAUAGCGUCAAGAGAACAUGCAUGAUGAACUGAACCGACAUUGUUAUAUUUUAUAUUACAUCAAAGCUCUAAUUCCUUCAACACAGACACACAUAAAAGUUCAUCAAAUAAUGCUCACUUUUGAUGUCUUUUCAUGGCCACAGCGUAUUAUUAUGAUGGACUCAAUGCAUUAUGCUAGUCAAUCAAAAGGCAAACACUAUCUCUUACAUUGAUAUUAGUAAAAUACAGUUACUGUAAAUUCACUUGAUCUUGUUUGCAGCACUUAAAUUUUCUUGGCGUAGCGAAAAUCAAACGUUGACGAGGA